rnacentral:rRNA from 1 species
UACGGAGGGUGCGAGCGUUGUCCGGAAUCAUUGGGCGUAAAGGGCGCGUAGGUGGCCCGGUCAGUUCGUGGUGAAAGCGCGGGGCUCAACUCCGCGUCGGCCAUGAAUACUGCUGGGCUGGAGCACUGUAGAGGCAGGCGGAAUUCCGGGUGUAGCGGUGGAAUGCGUAGAGAUCCGGAAGAACACCGGUGGCGAAGGCGGCCUGCUGGGCAGUGGCUGGACACUGAGGCGCGACGAGCGUGGGAGCAACAGGG